rnacentral:rRNA from 1 species
GGUCGCCGUGCCAUCUCCUCGGCCAAGGGGGGGGAGGGGCGAAAGGUGGUAAAGAAGCUUGUGGAAGAGGCUAGCGCGCGGCGGCGGGUACCCCCUCCGGAGGCUCAUACUGCCCCACCUACACCGCCGACAUAGCCGCUCCAACGACCUCGACCACCGGCUGCUGCUGCACUGCCGCGAGCAGCUGGAAGAGCGGCGCGUGGGCGAGGAGCGCCUACUCGGCCGCGGCACCAUGAGAGGCCGCGCCCCGCGCCUCGGGUACUGCGGCGAGUACCAGCGGCGGCGCAUGCCCAGGGACCGAACGGAGCUGCGGGAGGAGAGCGGCGGGGUGGAGCGGCUGGGGUUGGCGCGGAGGCGGAGGAGCGAGAGGUGGGGCGAGGUGGAGCGGCGGCGCCCGCCGCGAGGUAGGCGUGGGUGGUGGCAAAGGGCGGAGGAGCGACGGCCGCGGCUGGGAUGGGAGGAACUGGUAGAGGUGGCGGCCGGCAGUCUGGAGCAGCGCGACGGCGGUUUGAGCAACGGGGAGUUCUUGGUGUAGGAGAGUGAGGAACCGCGGGCCUUCCUCACCGGUGGCCUGGGGAGUGAGGGCCUGUAGUUCUUGCCGCGUAUGCGAAGGCUGCUGAAGGCGUACAUAAGGAAGUUCCAGGCGCGCACGAGGUCCCGGAUGAGGGUGCUGACCUGCCUCACGGGGAAGCAGGUGGGUCCUCUCUUGCGCGCCGCCUCCCUAGGCUCCUCCAUGGUGAUGUCGACGCACGGCACGGGCCUCAAGUUCUUCCCGCGGCCCACGUCCUCUCCCCUGUACACGCUCAUACGCGUGCCCCACAAGCUCUCGACCGAGGUGGGCCGCGUCAUGGCCUGCGCCGAGACGUUCCUGCCGCAGCCGACGCGCGCGGCGCAGACGAAGAAGCGAGUGUGCGGCCUCCUCGAGGCCGGCGACAUGCACAGGUGUCCGAGCCGGCACGGCAGCGGGGCGCCCCGCUACCUCUACCGGCGGUACCCCUACCCCGACAGUAGAGGCCCUAGAAGCAAGUGCGGCGGCGACAGCGGCAGGCCACCUCCCUCACCGUACCGCACCGGCGUCGGAUUGAACGGCCGCGACACGGAGGGGCCCUCGCGUCCCUUGAACGUGGACUCGGCCGACGCGUGGAGCGACUCGCGCUCCCGGUACCGCCAGCUGCUCGAAGACCGGAGCCCCCUGAUACUGUUGGUGGAACCUAGCGGACGGAGACACGCCAGCCGCUCCCCCUUCCGCGAACACGGCAGUUUAGACCUGCUUGACAAGAGCCGCCUCUACCGCCGGAGGGUGAGCGGCGCCAUGCGGCUGGUCCCGCCGCGACGCAAGAGCGGCUGCGUGUUCCGGCGGAAGGACUUGGUCAAGGUCGUCGUAGUCUCGAACGAGAGCGGUGCCCGACGCCGGUGGGGUCUCGGACAGAGUGGUUACUCGAGGGCCGACGAGCGACGCAACCGCGUCGCCCUCUACUACGUCGUCGUCUGUGACGCUUCGUACUCGAGUUCUCUGGACCCGAGGUCGCGGGGCGAGGACCAGCCGAGUGGCCACCACCCGAGAUCGACCAGGUUUACCCCGGAGGGGAGCCCGUGGGGUCUAACCCCGCGACUGUUGCUGCUCGAACCGGCAGAGUUCGCCAGGAGCAGCAAACUAGAGGCCAGACCCCGGUUGUGGCUACUCGGACUGGAGAGUACCCAGUUAUGGAAUCAUUUCCUCGGGUGCGGCCUCUUUAGUAGUUGGUUGCCCUGGUACCGUUGUCUCAGAUAACCGUAGAACCCGGCUAGUCGUUCGGUGGUGCUCUCGUAACGGCCACUACUGUCACGGUAGAACCCAGCUUGUCGCUUGGUGGCACUCCCGUAGUAGCUGCCACUCCUCCUGCGGCGGUGACCACAGUAGCCACCCACCGAGCUUGUCGAGGUCGAGCUACUCUACCAUCAAAUCUUGUUGGUUUGUGUGUCUACUUAGUUCUCUCCACUUUAAAAAAACCGACACGAAGUUGGCCGACGAUGACGGACGACGACGAUUCAAUGGUCGGAGUCCUGUAGUACGAUCGUUCAUGACCACGGUGUAAGAAAACCCCAACAAACCACAUCUUCCACUCCUCUAAAAAUCGUAAAGCUCGAACCGGUGUCCACUUCGUUUACCUCCUUUACCUCGGAUUAGUUGACGUAGUUUUAACGGUCGAAACGGAUCCACUCCGUAAAGAGGAAUAUAAAGAUGAAAUCACAGGGGAAAGAGCAACUAGAAAUAUUUCCACUGAAGGAGUGAUACUCCUAAUACUUAAUGAGAAUAGAAUACCAUGAUAGAAUAGACAACGGGGGAAUAGGAAACCAACACAACACUUGGUUCCUAAUCCUCCCCUCUUCCUAUAAUCAUAAUGUAGUUUAACAACGAGGUACUGAGCUGAGUACCAACAACAUUAUUGUAUAACGACAACAUGAACUCUAAGUACUUGGUACUAACUACAUUUCAAGGGUGAACGAUAAGGUUUUAAUUCGAGGCAGGAAGUUCUAAUUCAAGACGAUGACGAACUAAAAAGAAGUGUUACUUGACAGAUUUACGUCUAAUGCAAUAUCGUAGUGUGUCGUAAUGUAGAUACACCUCAUUAGCAACAAGUAGACGACAACGACCAAGGUUUACGGCCUUAAUAAAAGAAGUAAGGACGUCCCUUAAUUUUGAAAGGCCCGCCCCUUUUUCUUAGGUUCCAGCCGUCCCCGUAACUGUUUCUAACACGAACCUUAAACCUGCCUAGGGAAGAGAAAGAGGACCUCCGUAACUUUUCCUAGCCUACCAAUUGUAGUAUCAUGUGUAGCUGGUGACGCUCCAAGUGAAGACUACGCGAUAGCUACUCAGGAGCAGACGGGACUGGCUACGUAGAAAGAACAGUAUUAUUUUGUUGACCGUGCCUGCCACCGAGCCAUACCAGCGGAGUGCGGAACCGAGUGGGCGACACGACUGUACAUGACACACUGGCCCUUAUGUUUUAUUUUAACCCGACGUAAUAGGACCGUACGUAUUAAAAUGAUGCUUCCAGAACGUGACCUCUGUUCUCGACGAGAGCCCGGAUGGUUGUACUGGACGUUUUGCACCCACGCGGUUAUACUUGUUAAUGACACAAUCCUCAACGAAAUAUAUAUUUUUCAUCCCGCUCUCGGACAAAGCUCUCCUCAUACUAUUUUUGAAUAACAAAAGAAGUUCACUAAGGUUUGAUCGAGGCCAGUGUUUACAUACGGCCAAAAAAAGGGGUCCUUUUUAUACAGCCAAGCAUGAGGGAUUGUCGGAUAAGAUCAAUGUGUUUGAACAUGAGAAAGACAUUUUUUUUAUCUUCUCGUAAAUCUAGUAAUUUCAUCAUUAAAUUUGCAAAAAUAUAAAGAAAUACCUCCCUCAUGAUGAAACCUGUACGUACCAUACUCCUAUUAUAAGAGAAUAUCGGAUUAAUGGCACCUUAAGAAACAAA